ACGCUCGACACCUACGGGAGGAGCAGUAGGGAAUCUUCCACAAUGGACGCAAGUCUGAUGGAGCAACGCCGCGUGAGUGAAGAAGGUCUUCGGAUCGUAAAACUCUGUUGUUAGAGAAGAACACGAGUGAGAGUAACUGUUCAUUCGAUGACGGUAUCUAACCAGCAAGUCACGGCUAACUACGUGCCAACAGCCGCGGUAAUCUGAGCGGGCUGGCAAGGC
rnacentral:rRNA from 1 species